GCUUACGACCACACCGGCCUGAGUACGCCUGAUCUCGUCUGAUCUCGGAAGCUAAGCAGGGUCGGGCCUGGUUAGUACUUGGAUGGGAUGGGAGAUUUCCUGGGAAUACCAGGUGCUGUAAGCU
ensembl:rRNA 5S_rRNA 5S ribosomal RNA